UACGGCCGAAGUUCGAUUAGAUUCUAACCCAGAACUCUUCGCCUCUCGACCUCUUCUUUGAAGUUCGUUUCGAUUCAAAUCUUCAAACCCAGAAAUCUCGUAUCAAUUCAUUCGAUUCAUGGCCUACGGCCGUUAAUCACUUAAUCUCAAGUGGAAUCAGUCUCUUUGAAGUGGAAUCUUGAUUUUUUACUUGUAUAUGAACAGGAGGACGAGGACUAAGAAGCAAAGUGACUGCACAACUGAAGGAACAGGAGGACGAGGACUAAGAAGCAAAGUGACUGCACAACUGAAGGUUUAGAUGACCUUGAAAUGUACCACACUUUGGAGGAACUUGAGAGGGAGAAUGCUUUUAAUCAAGGAGUGGCGGGAACAAUGACCAAUACCAGCUCUACACAGUCACAAACUACUGCCUUGCUGCCCUCGCAGCCUACAUCUUGAGCUUUCAGCUUUCUUGUUCAUUGAUUGAAAUUGCAGAAACUACGAGAAUGCUUUCUUCAUUGAGUGAUGAAUGAUUGAUGAGAUGAACUGUGAAUUGAUGGGAUUAAUUAUUGAACUGUGAAUUGAUGAGAUGAAUUAUUGAACUGUGAAUUAUUG